rnacentral:rRNA from 1 species
UGGGGAAUAUUGGACAAUGGGCGAAAGCCUGAUCCAGCCAUGCCGCGUGUGUGAAGAAGGUCUUCGGAUUGUAAAGCACUUUAAGUUGGGAGGAAGGGCAUUAACCUAAUACGUUAGUGUUUUGACGUUACCGACAGAAUAAGCACCGGCUAACUCUGUGCCAGCAGCCGCGGUAAUACAGAGGGUGCAAGCGUUAAUCGGAAUUACUGGGCGUAAAGCGCGCGUAGGUGGUUUGUUAAGUUGGAUGUGAAAUCCCCGGGCUCAACCUGGGAACUGCAUUCAAAACUGACUGGCUAGAGUAUGGUAGAGGGUGGUGGAAUUUCCUGUGUAGCGGUGAAAUGCGUAGAUAUAGGAAGGAACACCAGUGGCGAAGGCGACCACCUGGACUAAUACUGACACUGAGGUGCGAAAGCGUGGUGAGCAAACA